GCGAGAGUGGUGGAAUUGGCAGACACGUCAGACUUAGGAUCUGAUGCCUUCGGGCGUAGGGGUUCGAGUCCCCUCUCUCGCACCA
rnacentral:tRNA from 1 species